UAAGCUAAAAGAGAUUUUCAUAUAAAUUAAAAAGUGUGUACAAGCUUGGGAAGGAAAUUGGGGCUAUCAAAAUGUAAAUCUAUCUAAGAUACUAACUAUAGAAAUGACUAGGUAGAAAAGGUGGGUAGGUAGCUAGGUUGGUCAUUACAAGUAAAGGGAAAGGGGUAUUUAUAACUAAAGAAUUAGGGUUUAGGGGUAGGGUGGCUCAAUCUUGACCAUCCAUGUGCCUUGUGUGUUGGGAAGAUUGUGGCCCUCCAUGUGUCCCUUAGUUGCCAACUCUUUUUUUUUUUUUCUUUUCUUUUCCCUUUUCUUCUUUUUCUUGCAUUUUCUCUUCUUUCUUUAUUUAUCUACAAUUUCCUGAAAUAAAAUAAAUAAGCGAUUAAUACUACGAAAAUAAACAAAAAAUAGGCACUUAAAUAUGCAAAAAUAUGGACUAAUCAAACUUCCCCAUACCUAUCUUUUGCUCGUCCUCGAGUAAAAAUCAAAAGAAAAAAACUAAACUAAGAAAACUAAAUGCAAGUCCUAGGCUCCUUUUUGUAGGCAUGACGGGUGAUUUUAGGUUCACCAACCCGUUAAACUCGUAGACGAUCUCUACAAGAGGAGUUUUGUCUCCUAAGGGUUUACAGAAGAUAUACCCAUAAAAUCUUCGAGACAUUCUAGCAAGUGUCUACUCGACCCUACUCUAAUUUCGUUGGUGUUAACAAAAAGCGUUUUUAAGGAAAAUACGACUUAAAGACUCAUCUACUAAUAAUCAAGAUACAGUUGUCUCUAAUCUACUUGCAUCGACACAAAGAUUUACAAGAAAUCCAAGGAGUGUAAGUAAUUUAAGGCCUUUGAUGGAUCCUAAUUGUCUAAGAACACUUUCUCUUUUUCAACCAAUUUUGAACUGACCCAAUCUCUAUCGAAACAAAUAUCUAGCCAAACUUCACAAACUCUUAUUCUUCUUUUUUCUUUUUUUCU
rnacentral:lncRNA from 1 species